CAGCUUUCGCGACAGCUGUAGGGACCGUCUACAUCUUACGGUCACGACAAAACGCGUAGGUGGUACCUUACAGUCACUUUCUGCAAAAGGCUUUUUUAUUUAUUCAUUUAAAUUCCCAAGUUGAAGUUAGCGCAUUAUAGAACACUGCUCGCAUGGCCACACACUGAUUCAAUACAGACAUGACCAACAUGUAAUAUAAUCCUACAAAACCCUUCAUCCUACAGAUUAAUCUUUUUAUUAUUACCACUAUGUUGCUCUGUACAGGAGCAGACAGAGUUUGUGUUUGGAUAAUGAGUGUGUAACACUUCCCCCAUUUGGUGCUGCAGUGGUUCCAAUGCGUGGCCUUAGGACAUAGGUACCCACCUCUCAGCCGGGGGCUCUCAGCUGCUGCAUGGACUCAGCUGCACACACAUGGAUACUGAUGAUGAACAGAAGGUUGAACGCUGCAAAAAAUACGAAAUAUCUAUAUAGGUUGGUUGAAAAUUGUGUAAGUGUAGCUUAAAACAAGAGUUGUAAUGUAUAGUACAUGCAUCAGGUCAGAAACAUCCUCAGCUUUAAGCUGUUGGUUAACAUGAGUGCUAUACGGCCGCACUGUCUGCAUCAGUUUAGUUUUAGUUAUUCACACAGUGAUUUACACACUUUUUAACACAGACCCUAUGUUUUUGUCCAAGGCUCAACCACAUUGUUCCCAUUGUCCAGGGCUGUAAAGUUCUGAUAAGAUCGCUCUCACAUCUUGUGUUAAAGGAGUCAUAUCAUGCUUUUCAUUCUAAAAAAUAUUAGACUUUAAUGUCUCAGUAAGGUCUCUGUAAAUUUUCAUCCCAUAAAACCCUUUAGAUCGUCCACACUGCCCCUGUCAAUGUGUGGUUCUCACUCCCCAUCAGCAAACGCUGUGUUUUCUGGGCGUGUCGCAAGCGAAGCUGCUCACGACACCUCUGUGCGGAAGCGCAUACCUUUUUUGUUGUUGUUGUUUUUUUAAAUUGGCUCCAUGGAUACGAGCCACCGCACGGUUACGAUACAAUAGGUGGCUGUAGUGCGACAUUGAGAACGCAAUCCACCGCAAUCCUCCACAGAAGAAGAAGACCCACUACAGGACUGCACGACAUUAGCCAGCUUAAUUCGUAGCGUUGUAGAACCAUACGUCUACGAUCCCGAAUCUGACCCUGAAGCUGAAGAGGAGGCUGUUGAAGUCACCACAUUUCGGCUGAUGCAAGAUGUGUCUCAUUGUUGUUACAGGUAUCUAGUCUACAGAGGCUAGUGAGCUGGUGCUGAGGAUUCCUGGGGUGAAGAAUCUGAGUUGCCAUCUCUUCAUGCUUGGGUUGUAGAUGAAGGCAGUUUCCUGAUGGAUAAAACACUAAAACACUCAUAGUAUGAUUGAUGUAGACCACCUGUAGAAUAACUCCUUUACCGUUUGAGUAAAAAUGUGUUUUUUGUGAGUGCAACACUCAUUAAGAAUUUUUUUAACUUUAUUUAUAUAUAAUUUAUAUGCGUUUUAUUUAUGGCCGCUUCAACUUUAUAGCUUACCAUAUUAGAAAGAGAAAAACAUGUAAUUUCAAUACUAUGAUUUCCUAAAUAAAAGUGUUUUCCCUUCAGAAACAGAGUUCAGUGAAAUACAUAACAGUUAAAGCCAACUUUAUUGUAAACCAAAAAAAUACACCACUACUCCAAAGCUAGAACAAACUGUUACCUUCACACUCCAAUGUGCAAUGUAUAGGUUACUGAGUUAAUUAAGAAGUCUGGGGGUUUGAGGGCGAAGGAGAAGCUUUUGCAGGGCCUUGCAGACGAAAUGCAUGAAAGUAGGGUAAACAGGGAGAUGUGGUGAUCCUUGUUCUCAUCACUAUUUGGAAGACUGAGCGGAAGCAGUCCUCUACCAGAUGGAAGCUGUGGCUGUCCUCACCAUCACCUCAUCAAAACAAAAGGUAGUGCAAUCAGAAUUGUAGAUUAGUGAAAUGUUAAUUAUUAUGUAGGUCAAAACCUUCUCUAAAGUAAGAACACACAAUACCAGACAAAAAAUUAAACCAAACAAGAGGACAGGCCUGUCUGUGCUAAAACAACAGAUAAACAGUUGUUACAAUUCAAAUAUAAAAUCUAAACAGUAUAUACCAAUUAAAAUCUUCUAUUACCUAUCUUACUGUUGGUACAUACAAACUUACAUACCUUCACUCCUGAGCUGGGCAGCAGAUGUCUGUGUACAGUCUGCAGUGAUUUCUCUGUUUCACAGCCUCCUUGCAUGUGGGCAACUGGGAUUUGCCCUCCUACAGUAUAGAAAAUACUGUUACAUUUACUGUAAAUUGUAUUGGUCCUACAAAUAUAAUGGCUAUGGUACAAGCUGUAGGUUACUGACCAGAUAAGCAGCAGGUAUUGUAGAGAUGUGACUAAUUAGCAACUAAGCUUGAAACACAACACAGUAAUCAUUCCAACUAAUCAUGUUAGAAUUUGAUAGAACAAUGACAUAACCCAAAAUCACAAGUUGAUUUAGGCUGUGACACAGGACUGGGUAAUAAACAUAACCGCGUUCAUCUGCAGGUUCUUUUUGUAGCGAUGACCAGCUGUAGCUCUAAAGUGCAAAGGCCUAAAGGCAUGCUAACGGCUAAUGCAACACACAAACAGGAGCGGCAGCACGUCAACAGGACAAAAGCUCGAUCCACCGCUUCCUGCCUGUCGCCGAUCGAAGGCCCAUCGCUAUUAGCUGUUCCCCACACAGGUGUGUGAUUGCACCAACUCAGAGUAGCACAUUUGAAAGGGACAAAGGCUCGGUUGACUCACUGUAGCCGUUAGCGACGCUAGCGAUUAGCUUGUCUCACAUGUGGGUUACUGCAUUUUAAACAGACCCAACUAACAUAUUUAGAUAUCACAAGUAUCAAGCACAAACUUACUACAGCGAGCUAGACCCACCGCUCCCUGCCUGUAGCCGCUCGAUGCCGAUAGUCAUUAGCUUUUCUCCACACAGGUGUGUGGCUGCAGGAGCCCACAUGAGCACAUUUGAAGGGGACAAGGGCUCGGUCGACUGGCUGUAGCCGUUAGCAUAGCUAGCUAGUAACUUGCCCCACACAUAGGUUACUACAUUUAAACGGACAAACUAACAUUUUAAAACAUUAUAAAUAUCAAGCAUGUACUUACUUCAGUGAGUGGAUGACGGACUUUAGGAAUAGGUCCUUUUUUUCCAACAGGAGCCGUGAAACAAAUCCAGCAUUGUACGCACCCUCGUUUGAAAUGCACAUACGUAUAAAUGCUGAGGCAGUGUUUCUGGCACCGGUCCGUUAAAAUAAAAGUGACCCACAAAUCCUCACUUGUUGAUCCCUUGGUAAAGUGAAGAGACUUUGGUGUUGGUUAGAACACCUAAGAACCGAACUAUUUCUAUGGGAGGACUUGGGCGCUGCCGUGCUGGUCUGUUCACGGUGAGUGAGAGGGGGGAAAUGGCGGAAGUCCAGUUUUGGUUCGGGAUCAUUGUGGGGGUGGUGGUUCAGGAUUUGCAAGGAGAACUUUCAACCAGUGUGACGACAACUGGGACACGGCCUCAGAGUAGGUCGUGGCUGUUUUCAUUGGAUGAGAAAAUUUACGUUUUCAAAAUGUGAAAAAAGCAGGAAAUGCAUUUCUACCGUGCUCAGUGUGUGUAUAUGUGACCCAUAGAGUCAUAGGGACGCUCCAAAAUGUCUAAAAAGUGGAUUUUGCAUGAUAUGGGCCCUUUAAGCCUCCCUCCUCCUGAAUGCUGCUUCCUUCAGUUUUGUUUCGAGUGGGGAAAAAAAAGGCACAGUUUAUUAUUAUAAUGUGUUGAUAGCAUAUGGAAGAUUGCAUCAUAUAUACAUCUUUUGUUAAAUAGUUCUUAAUUUAGCUUGCAGGGAGAAACAUGAAAUUAAAACUUUAGGUUAGUUAUUGACCCAUGAGAAACAAGAGCUGGUAGCUUUUAAUGUUCACAUGUUUAAAUGUGGUUGUUUUGGGAAAUGCUGUAGUGUUUUCUCUUUUGUUAUUGUGUUUUUCUUGCUGUUGCACCUAUGGAAAGUACCAUGGAGUUGGGCUAGAUGUCAUUUCAUCAGAUCAGAGAAGCCGUAGCUGGUGAGUUCUGGUAAUGUACAACUUUUUCAAUUUUACUAUUAUUGGGGCCACUAAGCUCUUGGUAACAAUCAGUCUGAAAUAGUUUCACUCACUCACACACACACACACACACACACACACACACACACACACACACACACACACACACACACACACACACACACACACACACACUGCUCUUAAUUCUGACUUCAAACAUUACUUUAAUUCAAUCAGUAAGUCUUGUUUGUUGUUUCUGCUGUUGUUUUGUUGUUUUGUUAUUUUUGUCUGGGAAUUACACAGGUUUCUCCCAAAAAAGAUAACAAUACGAUGUACAAGAUCAUUGUGAAAAAAUCUUUAUUACAGCACAACACUUCCUCUAAUUGCUGAACAGCUUUUUUCAUGUCUACAUCAUGUCUACUGACUUUGUCAUUAUGAACACAAGCCUGUGUACAACUUGUUAACGUUUUAUUUUUGUAUUUUAAAUUGACAACAAUGCAGGAAUUGAGGAGGACUGAAUACUUUCCGUAAUCAUUGCAUUGUUUCUGCUUAUGGUGUUUGUUCUUUUCAGAACGGCAUCAUCAAAGAACACAUAGAUCACUUUAUACAGGACAAAGGAUGUUCCAAUUGGGUCUCACAAACUCGAAUACUUGCCCUCACUGUACAGAUAACACAGCAGAUAGAUUCCUAUGUGCAUUCUGGUCAUGUUCCCCUGUGUAGCAAUUUUGGCAUAAGGAGUAAACGAGCACCUGUCGACCUUGUUCAGCUCUACAAUCCCAGCAACCCCUGCACUCUCUUUUAGGAAAUCUAGGAUGGGUAGCAGAGCUAGUCGGGAACCUGGCUCGGCAGACUCUGGUGCCUUGCUUCCCAACUACAUCUCUCCACACUCAUCCACCUUGGUCUGUGAGGGGCGUCCUACUGAUGGAGGAAACAAGGCUACUGGAUAGUGGUUCCAGCAAACGGUCCCUCCUAGGAUCCAAGCGGAGAGAUCAACAACCAGCUUUAACUGAUUGCACAAUGGACAUCUAGCACGGGGGACACUGUCCAGAGGAGCACACCAUCAGCCAGCAGCCAUGUCCCCCACUGUCAGUUCACUCUAGUUCCACACACUCAUGUUCAAGCUGGAUUGCAGGGUUCUGGGGUGCCUUUUCCGCUGCCCCUGCUUCUCCUUGGUUGAGGUGGGUGGGCGAGGCUCAGGAGAUGCUGCGGUCCCUGCCUGGGGCCACAUGGGCAGCAGGCCGGAGACCUACCCUCCCCAUCAAUGAGAACAAGCGAAUGGUGUGGGUGUGUAUCUGAGAGUGCAUGCAAUUACGUAUGACUGAGUACUUGUUUGUAGGAGAGUUUGUGGUAGUUUGUGUUGAUGUGUGUGUGUGUGGGGGGGAUCCGCUCCCACUCAGUGUAGAUGGAGCCGCUGUCUGGGUGGUCUUAAAAAGGCACCAUUACCUGGCAGUUUGUAAGUUAAAUAUGAGCAAAAAAUAAAAACAUACUAUAAUAACACAACUGAAUCGUUGUACUGGAAAUAGGUUCAUUUUCUUCCUGGGAAGUUAAAGCCUAUUUGUUCUUCUUUUUUUUGAGAAAUUUCUAUUGCCUCUGUUCAUACUGUAUACAGUACAAAGCUUAUCCGCAGUUCGGUGAACAAGCCCUUAACAAGCAUCACACCAGCAGCAGUGCUGCAGUUGAAUAUUAGUAACUCAAAUGUGUAUAAUGUAAUAAUAUUAAUAUAAUGUAAUGUAAUGUGUGUAAAUGCAUACCUUCCAAUAAAUGCA